rnacentral:rRNA from 1 species
UACAGAGGGGGCAAGCGUUAUUCGGAAUUAUUGGGCGUAAAGGGCGCGUAGGCGGUCGUGCAAGUGGAAGGUGAAAUCCCUCAGCUCAACCGAGGAACUGCCUUUCAAACUGCAUGACUUGAGUCCGGGAGAGGUGAGUGGAAUUCCCAGUGUAGCGGUGAAAUGCGUAGAUAUUGGGAGGAACACCAGUGGCGAAGGCGGCUCACUGGACCGGAACUGACGCUGAGGCGCGAAAGCGUGGGGAGCAAACGGGG